CAGUCGUACCUGCGGAUAAUCAGCCUUUAGGAUGCGAUUUUGUGGAGCGUGAGGAGCUAAUCGCCUUCAUGCCUAUAUAUUCGUGUACUUGGGGUGUACUUAUUCGUGAGGUAAGUUAACAUCAAUUUUGGUCGUUAUAAAAUGACCGGAGGAAUGUAGCUUCGAUCUCGUAUUGAAGUGUUAUAGCCUCUUGUUGUACACGGUGCCUGGGAUUGAGGACUGCAGCACGCCUUUGGUAGGGGUUCGCCCACUCCACGUGCUUAGGAUGCUGGCGUAAUGGCUUUAAACGACCCGUCUUGAAACACGGACCAAGGAGUCUAACAUAUAUGCGAGUGUU
rnacentral:rRNA from 1 species